rnacentral:sRNA from 1 species
GCUGGGUGCAGUGGUGAAUACCUGUAAUCCCAGUGGUUCAGGAGGCUGAGGCAGGAGAAUCGUGAGUUCAAAGCAAGCCUCAGAAAUUUAGCAAGGCCCUAAAACAACUUGGCGGGAUCCUGUUUCAA